GAUUGGUGCAGAUCUCCAGCGACAGGACACCAAUUACAGACUGGCAGCUGAACCCAAGCAAAGACUUGUGGUUACACUGAGAUUCCUUGCCACCGGAGAGUCUUUCAGGAGUCUGGCUCUUGCCUACAGGCUGGGCAGAAAAACAGUGGCAGACUCCGUUCACAUGACCUGUAGGGCAGUUGUCGAUCACAUGAUGGAGACCCAAAUGCCGAAACCAACGGAGGAAUCAUGGACAGCUAUCGCAGAGCGCUUUUGGAGAAGAUGGCAGUUUCCAAAUUGCAUUGGGGCCAUCGACGGGAAGCACAUUCAAAUUCAAGCACCCAAAAAAUCAUGCAGCCAGUUUUUUAAUUAUAAAAAAACAUUUUCAAUAAUCUUGUUGGCCCUGGUGGAUGCGGACUCAAAAUUUAUAAUCAUACAAGUUGGCGAUUUUGGCCGUGCAAGUGAUGGUGGGGUGUUCGCUCAUUCAGCACUGGGGAGGGGAAUGAGUGAAAAGACUUUGAAUGUGCCAGAAGACACCCCCCUGCCUGGUUAUGGUCAGCAAGGUGACGUGCCAUACAUGAUGGUAGGUGAUGCUGCGUUUCCCUUGAAGCGGUACCUGAUGCGACCCUACCCUGGCAGCAACCUGUCAAGGCAUAAUAGUCACUUUAACUACAGGCUGUCAAGAGCUCGCAUGACAGUGGAGUGUGCCUUUGGCAUUCUUGCGGCCAGAUGGAGGGUUUUUUUGUCAAGAAUAUCCAUGCUUCCGUGUCAUAUAGACAUGGUAGUCAUGGCAGCAUGUGUGCUACAUAAUUAUCUGAUCAAGCCUAAGAACAGAGAUAUGGUAGAGGGUCAAAGGGAUGGAGAACAUGGUCUGCAAAGUGUCAGACACAUGGGGGGUAACAGAGGACCCAGGGAAGCCCUUCAGACUCGGGAGUUCCUCUGUAAUUUCUUUGACUCCCCAGAAGGAGCUUUAAAUAGUGCACAUAAUGUGUAAAUAAUUUUGUAAAUAAUGUAGUUUAAUAGGUUUGGAUAACAUGAUGAUCAUUGUAUAUAUAUAUCUUUUUGUAAAUAGAUAUUGAUAUUUUGUAAAUAGAUAUUGAUUAUCAAUCUCUCUCUCUCUCGCUCUGUCUGUCUCUCCCCCCCCCCCCCCGCUCUCUUUCUCUGUCUGUUUCCCUGUCUCUCUCUCGCUCUGUCUGUUUCCCUGUCUCUCAUUAGACAUUCUUGGUUCCAAAUGUAUGUUGAUUAAAACGUUCUUGUUGACA